UACUUAAGACAGUCAAAAGGUCAGUUUUACUUGAGAAGUAACAGUAUUCAUAGAGAAUCAGGUGAACAGCAACGUAAAGGAGACGGGGAAGUGUGGUGCUCUAAAUGAUUUUUUUUUCUGUGUGGCAGAGGAAUAACCGUGAAGACAGACAUGGUAGCUUCAAGGGUGACGUUGAUGACUCUGUUGGUCAUAUUGACAUCGGUUAUAGCAACACAAAUAUCAACACAAUGUACCAAUAGCACUUUUUGGACUACAGAUAAUAGAAAAAGUGGAGUUAAUUACAAAUCCGUGGAUAAUUUUGGCCUCGCUUUAUUCAAACAAUUGCCCGUGAAGAAUAAUGUUCUCAUCUCUCCUGUGUCACUUUGGUCUUCCCUUCUAUUGUCUUAUGUUGGAUCUGAUAGAAGAACUGCCAGGCAGCUUCAGGAACUGCUAGAUGUGAGAAUGAUACGUGGUGCCUUGGAGUAUCUGGAUCUUGUUGAAAGCAGUAUGUUAAGAGACUUGGAGCAGAGCAAAUGUUCGACAGAUCACUUGCCGACUUCACCAAUUUCGCCAGAGGUCUCUACAUGAACGUUUUCAAACACAAGACCAUCAUAGUAAUCAACGAGGAGAAGACAACUGCUGGCAUGGCAUCGAGCAUACAAAUAAACCCCAAGAGUAAUAAAGACAUCCCAGAUUCACCGGCGGGGUAUGAUGAUACUAUUCCAUCUAUUUCUCCAAUGAUUCCUAUGGAUACUUACGAUAAUAUAACACAUUACGAUGGUACAGGGAAUAUGGAAUGUAGACAUGAUGUGAAUACUAGCAAGGUACACAGAGCUGUAGAUAUGGAUGACUGUGAUUUCUGUGUGAGCUUUGACCGACCAUUUGUAUUCAUUCUAGGUGAUAAUCAUCGUGUAAUACACCAAAUUGGUAUCCUUGUGUCACCUAGGAAAAUUUAGAGGGAGAAAUACAAACGCACACACACACACACACACACA
rnacentral:misc_RNA from 1 species